UGAGGAAUAUUGGUCAAUGGACGAGAGUCUGAACCAGCCAAGUAGCGUGAAGGAUGACUGCCCUAUGGGUUGUAAACUUCUUUUAUAUGGGAAUAAAAUGAGUUACGUGUAGCUUUUUGUAUGUACCAUAUGAAUAAGGAUCGGCUAACUCCGUGCCAGCAGCCGCGGUAAUACGGAGGAUCCGAGCGUUAUCCGGAUUUAUUGGGUUUAAAGGGAGCGUAGGUGGAUUGUUAAGUCAGUUGUGAAAGUUUGCGGCUCAACCGUAAAAUUGCAGUUGAAACUGGCAGUCUUGAGUACAGUAGAGGUGGGCGGAAUUCGUGGUGUAGCGGUGAAAUGCUUAGAUAUCACGAAGAACUCCGAUUGCGAAGGCAGCUCACUGGACUGCAACUGACACUGAGGCUCGAAAGUGUGGGUAUCAAACAGGAUUAGAUACC
rnacentral:rRNA from 1 species